rnacentral:rRNA from 1 species
AUUGAACGCUGGCGGCAUGCUUUACACAUGCAAGUCGAACGGUAACAGGGAGCUUGCUCCGCUGACGAGUGGCGAACGGGUGAGUAAUAUAUCGGAACGUACCCAAGAGUGGGGGAUAACGUAGCGAAAGUUACGCUAAUACCGCAUACGAUCCAAGGAUGAAAGCAGGGGAUCUUCGGACCUUGUGCCCCUGGAGCGGCCGAUAUCUGAUUAGCUAGUUGGUGAGGUAAAGGCUCACCAAGGCGACGAUCAGUAGCUGGUCUGAGAGGACGACCAGCCACACUGGAACUGGGACACGGUCCAGACUCCUACGGGAGGCAGCAGUGGGGAAUUUUGGACAAUGGGCGCAAGCCUGAUCCAGCAAUGCCGCGUGAGUGAAGAAGGCCUUCGGGUUGUAAAGCUCUUUUGUCAGGGAAGAAACGGGAGUGGCUAAUAUCCAUUCCUAAUGACGGUACCUGAAGAAUAAGCACCGGCUAACUACGUGCCAGCAGCCGCGGUAAUAC